rnacentral:rRNA from 1 species
UGGGGAAUAUUGGACAAUGGGCGCAAGCCUGAUCCAGCAAUGCCGCGUGAGUGAUGAAGGCCUUAGGGUUGUAAAGCUCUUUCGCACGCGACGAUGAUGACGGUAGCGUGAGAAGAAGCCCCGGCUAACUUCGUGCCAGCAGCCGCGGCAAUACGAAGGGGGCUAGCGUUGUUCGGAAUUACUGGGCGUAAAGGGCGCGUAGGCGGCCUGUUUAGUCAGAAGUGAAAGCCCCGGGCUCAACCUGGGAAUAGCUUUUGAUACUGGCAGGCUUGAGUUCCGGAGAGGAUGGUGGAAUUCCCAGUGUAGAGGUGAAAUUCGUAGAUAUUGGGAAGAACACCGGUGGCGAAGGCGGCCAUCUGGACGGACACUGACGCUGAGGCGCGAAAGCGUGGGGAGCAAACAGGAUUAGAUACCCUGGUAGUCCACGCCGCAAAACGAUGAAUGCUAGACGUCGGGGUGCAUGCACUUCGGUGUCGCCGCUAACGCAUUAAGCAUUCCGCCUGGGGAGUACGGCCGCAAGGUUAAAACUUAAAGGAAUUGACGGGGUC